GCCUGCCUCCGACGAUGAAGGUCCACCCUACAUUCCACGUCUCUCGGGUCAAACCCGUCAGGCUCUCAAGGUUUUUCCCCUCCUCCAGAACCCCACCUCCUCCUCGUUUGGUUGAUGGAGCUCCGGCCUUUACAGUAAGGCGGAUACUCAAGUCCAGGAGGUGGGGCAGGGGCAUGCAGUACCUGGUUGAUUGGGAGGGUUAUGGACCUGAGGAGCGGCAGUGGGUUCCCGCCCGCUUCAUCUUAGACAAGUCCCUUAUCAGGGAUUUCCACAAGGCACGCUCUGAACAUCCUAAGGCGUCUGGUAUCCGCCCUUAAGGGGGGGGCUCUGUGAUGAUCUUGGCAUUGGCACUGAUCUGUCCCACCGGUACACCUGCUCAUCUCCACCGUGUCUGCAAUUAGUCCUCAUUGGUUUCAUCUGUUUUCACCUCCUUAUAAUCCCUGUGCAGAUCAGAUGCCAGUGCCAGAUUGUCUCAAGCAAGUCGUAUGAGCAUUCCAGCGUUCUCGUCCCUGUCUGCCUGUUUCCUGACCCCUGUGUUUCUUCUGAGCCUACCCGUGAACGAACUUGGACUGGACCCGGACUCUCCCUGUUGGACCUCCCUUCUGUACCGCCGCCGGAUAAUUGCCCUCUGUGUACUGGACCUGGACUCCCCCGGAUUACGCCUCUGGAAAGCCCCUGUCGGAUCCCUGCCUGUUCGCCCGCUACCCUCCACUCCCGGAUCAGUUCGCUUGGGUUUCUGCCGGCUCUCCGGACCCAGCUACCCCAACUUCAGGGGUUAACCACACUAAGCGCGAGCUACUGCGCGUGGAGAGGGCGAGUCCACUUCCUGCUUGUAAAUAAAAACAUUGAAAACGCCACUGACCUGUGUCGGCUG